CGGAUAUAUCACGUUGAAACACCGGUUUCUGUACGAUCACUGAAGUUAAGCAACGUCGAGCCUGGUCAUUACCUAGAUGGAUGACCGCUUGCGAAUAUUAGGAG